rnacentral:rRNA from 1 species
UACGGGGGGAGCAAGCGUUGUUCGGAUUUACUGGGCGUAAAGGGCGCGUAGGCGGUCAGCACAAGUCAGUUGUGAAAUCUCCGGGCUUAACUCGGAAAGGUCAACUGAUACUGUGCGACUAGAGUGCAGAAGGGGCAACUGGGAAUUCUCGGUGUAGCGGUGAAAUGCGUAGAUAUCGAGAGGAACACCUGCGGCGAAGGCGGGUUGCUGGGCUGACACUGACGCUGAGGCGCGAAAGCCAGGGGAGCGAACGGG